AUUGAACGCUGGCAGCAUGCUUUACACAUGCCAGUCGAACGGCAGCGCGGGCUUCGGCCUGGCGGCGAGUGGCGAACGGGUGAGUAAUGCAUCGGAACGUGCCCAGUAGUGGGGGAUAGCCCGGCGAAAGCCGGAUUAAUACCGCAUACGACCUGAGGGUGAAAGCGGGGGACCGAAAGGCCUCGCGCUAUUGGAGCGGCCGAUGUCGGAUUAGCUAGUUGGUGGGGUAAAGGCUUACCAAGGCGACGAUCCGUAGCUGGUCUGAGAGGACGACCAGCCACACUGGGACUGAGACACGGCCCAGACUCCUACGGGAGGCAGCAGUGGGGAAUUUUGGACAAUGGGGGCAACCCUGAUCCAGCCAUGCCGCGUGCGGGAAGAAGGCCUUCGGGUUGUAAACCGCUUUUGUUCGGGAAGAAAUCCUCUGGGCUAAUACCCCGGGGGGAUGACGGUACCGGAAGAAUAAGCACCGGCUAACUACGUG
rnacentral:rRNA from 1 species